CCUCUCUCAGGAUUGCACCUGGAGAGUUUCCAGUAGCCUACCAGUCACGACUACUGGAGGGAGAGUCAAGCAGAGGCCUACCCAUUCCAUUCCUAGCUUGGCCAGUGGCUAGCGAAUGGAAGGCAAUCCGCUACAAGU